rnacentral:rRNA from 1 species
UGGGGAAUCUUGCGCAAUGGCCGAAAGGCUGACGCAGCGACGCCGCGUGGAGGAUGACGCCCUUCGGGGUGUAAACUCCUGUUGCCCGGGACGAAUGCCCCUUUUGAGGGGAGUGACGGUACCGGGUGAGGAAGCACCGGCUAACUCUGUGCC